rnacentral:rRNA from 1 species
UGACCUGGGCUACACACGGUGCUACAAUGGUUGGUACAACGAGUUGCGAGUCGGUGACGGCGAGCGUAAUCUCUUAAAGCCAAAUCUCAGUUCGGAUUGUAGGCUGCAACUCGCCUACAUGAAGUCGGAAUCGCUAGUAAUCGCGGAUCAGCACGCCGCGGUGAAUACGUUCCCGGGCCUU